rnacentral:rRNA from 1 species
AACGAACGCUGGCGGCGUGCCUAACACAUGCAAGUCGAACGAGAAAGGGGCUUCGGCUCCGAGUAAAGUCGCGCACGGGUGAGUAACACGUGGGUAACCUGCCUCUAAGAUUGGGAUAACUCGUCGAAAGAUGAGCUAAUACCGAAUAAGACCACAGUUCCCGCGGGAACAGUGGUCAAAGGUAGCCUCUGCUUGCAAGCUAUCACUUAGAGAUGUGCCUGCGCACCUUUAGCUAGUUGGGAGGGUAACGGCCUACCAAGGCAAAGAUGGUUAGCUGGUCUGGGAGGAUGAACAAGCACACUGGAACUGAGACACGGGCCAGACUCCUACGGGAGGCAGCAGGUGGGAAUAUUGCGCAAUGGGCGAAAGCUUGACGCAGCAACGCCGCGUGAGGGAAGAAGGCCUUCGGGUCGCAAAGCUCUGUCGGGAUGGGCGAAUGCUCCGGAGGUUAACAGCCUCGGGAGGUGACGGUACCUUCAGAGGAAGCACCGGCUAACUCUGUG